rnacentral:rRNA from 1 species
GACGAACGCUGGCGGCGUGCUUAACACAUGCAAGUCGAACGGAAAGGCCCUGCUUUUGUGGGGUGCUCGAGUGGCGAACGGGUGAGUAACACGUGAGUAACCUGCCCUUGACUUUGGGAUAACUUCAGGAAACUGGGGCUAAUACCGGAUAGGAGCUCCUGCUGCAUGGUGGGGGUUGGAAAGUUUCGGCGGUUGGGGAUGGACUCGCGGCUUAUCAGCUUGUUGGUGGGGUAGUGGCUUACCAAGGCUUUGACGGGUAGCCGGCCUGAGAGGGUGACCGGCCACAUUGGGACUGAGAUACGGCCCAGACUCAUACGGGAGGCAGCAGGGGGGAAUAUUGCACAAUGGGCGGAAGCCUGAUGCAGCAACGCCGCGUGCGGGAUGACGGCCUUCGGGUUGUAAACCGCUUUCGCCUGUGACGAAGCGUGAGUGACGGUAAUGGGUAAAGAAGCACCGGCUAACUACGUG